rnacentral:rRNA from 1 species
GACGAACGCUGGCGGCGUGCUUAACACAUGCAAGUCGAACGGAAAGGCCCUGCUUUUGUGGGGUGCUCGAGUGGCGAACGGGUGAGUAACACGUGAGUAACCUGCCUUGACUUUGGGAUAACUUCAGGAAACUGGGGCUAAUACCGGAUAAGAGCUCCUGCUGCAUGGUGGGGGUUGGAAAGUUUCGGCGGUUGGGGAUGGACUCGCGGCUUGUCAGCUUGUUGGUGGGGUAGUGGCUUACCAAGGCUUUGACGGGUAGCCGGCCUGAGAGGGUGACCGGCCACAUUGGGCCUGAGCUACGGCCCAGACUCCUACGGGAGGCAGCAGUGGGGUAUAUUGCACAAUGGGCGGAAGCCUGAUGCAGCAACGCCGCGUGCGGGAUGACGGCCUUCGGGUUGUAAACCGCUUUCGCCUGUGACGAAGCGUGAGUGACGGUAAUGGGUAAAGAAGCACCGGCUAACUACGUG